UACGUAGGGUGCAAGCGUUAAUCGGAAUUACUGGGCGUAAAGCGUGCGCAGGCGGUUCUAUAAGACAGAUGUGAAAUCCCCGGGCUCAACCUGGGAAUGGCAUUUGUGACUGGAAGGCUAGAGUGUGUCAGAGGGGGGUAGAAUUCCACGUGUAGCAGUGAAAUGCGUAGAGAUGUGGAGGAAUACCGAUGGCGAAGGCAGCCCCCCUGGGAUAACACUGACGCUCAUGCACGAAAGCGUGGGGACAAACAGG
rnacentral:rRNA from 1 species